rnacentral:RNase_P_RNA from 2 species
GCAGCCUGAAGUGACUCGUAUGCUUCUUUACAGACGAGCUGUCUCGUACGGCUAUAACGAAGCGGGUAAGGUCUGAGAGUUCUAACUUCCCUCGUCAUACAACUCGAGAUGGGUUGAACGAUAAUUCGUUGAGCGACGCACCAGAAAAGCACUCUCUUGUGGAUUAGCUGAAGACAGUCUUCCUCGAGGCGACGAUAUCCACAGCCGAGAGUUGGGAACACGUCGUGGGAGUCGCAGAAGUGGUUCUCAGGGUUGAGAAUAGCUUUAUACACCUACAUGGUGUAUAGAUCACGCCACUGCUGCUUAAGUGCACUACGAGUCGUCCUGCAGCAGGAAAACUCGAUUCAGACUACUCUUAGGCUGC